rnacentral:rRNA from 1 species
UACAGGGGGUGCAAGCGUUGCUCGGAAUUAUUGGGCGUAAAGCGCGCGUAGGCGGCUACUUAAGUCGGAUGUGAAAGCCCUUGGCUCAACUGAGGAAGUGCACCCGAAACUGAGUGGCUAGAGUACGAAAGAGGGUCGCGGAAUUCCCGGUGUAGAGGUGAAAUUCGUAGAUAUCGGGAGGAACACCGGUGGCGAAGGCGGCGACCUGGGUCGAUACUGACGCUGAGGCGCGAAAGCGUGGGGAGCAAACAGG